rnacentral:rRNA from 1 species
CAACUGUGUGAAUUAAUGUGAACUGCGUACUGCUUUGAACAUCGACAUCUUGAACGCAUAUUGCUGCCGCGGGAUAUCCCGUGGCCACGUCUGGCCGAGGGUCGGCU